GGGAUUCUUCGGCAAGCGGAGAUCGGGUGGUGAACCAUCGGCUGGCCGGCGAGGGGGAAGAGCGGCUUCGGGACAUUGAGCGACAGCGGACGGAAUCGCGUGCCUUUGGUCGGUCCGCCGACCAUGAUGACGGCGACGAUCCGCUCCUCCGAGGUGCCCAUGGAUCGCCGGAGCGAGACUGGGGGAGAGGAGUCCUAGAUUUGGGGGGCGGAGAG
rnacentral:misc_RNA from 1 species